GCACUUUCAGUAGGGAGGAAGGUAGUGUAGUUAACACCUGCAUUAUUUGACGUUACCUACAGAAGAAGCACCGGCUAACUCCGUGCCAGCAGCCGCGGUAAUACGGAGGGUGCGAGCGUUAAUCGGAAUUACUGGGCGUAAAGCGCAUGCAGGCGGCCUGUUAAGUCAGAUGUGAAAGCCCCGGGGCUUAACCUCGGAAUUGCAUUUGAAACUGGCAGGCUAGAGUCUUGUAGAGGGGGUAGAAUUUCAGGUGUAGCGGUGAAAUGCGUAGAGAUCUGAAGGAAUACCAGUGGCGAAGGCGGCCCCCUGGACAAAGACUGACGCUCAGAUGCGAAAGCGUGGGGAGCAAACAGGAUUAGAUACCCUGGAG
rnacentral:rRNA from 1 species